ensembl:snRNA U6 U6 spliceosomal RNA
GUGCUCUCUUUGGCAGCACACAUGCUAAAAUUGGAAUAAUACAGAAAAGAUAAGCAAGGUCUCUAUGCAAGGACGAUACACAAAUUCAUGAAACGAUCCGUAUUUUU